AGUGCCAAGACGUAACACGUAACACCUUGUGGUGGGUUUCCUCUGUGCACACUGGACGUGAACAUUUACUCCAGCACAGCGAUCUGUCAGACACAAGAUUUUAAGAACAACAACAACAGAGAGGUGGUGAGGAUGAACAUGGAAAUGGCCAGCACUCUUAGAAGCAAGCCAGCUAAAUGUCCAAUCUGAAAAACUUCUGAAGCUGUUCCAAAAUAGAGGGGGUUAGACAGGCAAUAAAGAGUUUGGUAUCGGGUGGUCAGAUGGUCGAAGGUACAGGGAAGGGUAAUCCGGAAAACAGGCAAGUUUUGGAAAGCAAGCCAAUAUUAUUCUAUAGUGGGUGUUUAUUUUGCUGAAAGCAAAGUGAU